AAAAUACAAUGGCUGGCGGGGGGACAUUUUGAAAUUCCGAAGCACGUCAGCUUGCUGUUGAGAAAGCCAUUAAAUGAGUCGUCCUCGUCGUGUUUACUACGGCUUGGCGAUGGAAUAACGAUUCGAGUUCCAGUCCAUGGUAAAACCAUUACCAAGUGGCGCCGUGCACCCAUGAGUGCUUUUUGAUUGUACCAAGAUGAAAAUGGUUUUGGCGAUAUGCUCGCAAGAACUCUUUCGAGAGCGGAUGUCACAAACAUUAUCUCAGCUACAGACACCAUUUGUUUUUUCCUUGGACAUCACAGGUGUGUUCGUUGUCUAGCGCGGUCCCCACCACGACCAUAUGAUGGAGAAAUAUGGAAGCUUAUCAUCUCCUCUGUGGUGAGCACUACUCCCCCGUAUCUAUGAAAGAAGUGACUGCGGGUUAUCAUGUAGACAGCAGGAAGAAGCAGUUUGCUAGAGAUGUUGUCAGACUUUAUCGCGCCUAGUCAGCGCUUUGUUCAAAUGUAAACAGCCAGCCAGUCGCGAUAUACUGCCCAAACCUUAUUUAUGGGGCAUCCUCAAUGUCGAGCUCUUUGGUGUUCUGAGUGUGUCAAUAAUUUACAACAAUG